rnacentral:rRNA from 2 species
GGCUAUCACUUCUGGAUGGACCUGCGGCGCAUUAGCUUGUUGGUGGGGUAACGGCCUACCAAGGCAGUGAUGCGUAGCCGAGUUGAGAGACUGAUCGGCCACAAUGGGACUGAGACACGGCCCAUACUCCUACGGGAGGCAGCAGUAGGGAAUCUUCCACAAUGGGCGCAAGCCUGAUGGAGCAACACCGCGUGAGUGAAGAAGGUUUUCGGAUCGUAAAGCUCUGUUGUUGAAGAAGAACGUGCAUGAGAGUAACUGUUCAUGCAGUGACGGUAUUCAACCAGAAAGUCACGGCUAACUACGUGCCAGCAGCCGCGGUAAUACGUAGGUGGCAAGCGUUAUCCGGAUUUAUUGGGCGUAAAGAGAGUGCAGGCGGUUUCUUAAGUCUGAUGUGAAAGCCUUCGGCUCAACCGAAGAAGUGCAUCGGAAACUGGGAAACUUGAGUACAGAAGAGGGCAGUGGAACUCCAUGUGUAGCGGUGGAAUGCGUAGAUAUAUGGAAGAACACCAGUGGCGAAGGCGGCUGCCUGGUCUGUAACUGACGCUG